rnacentral:lncRNA from 1 species
CUGAGAGCCGAACAGGCCAAAGUAGUCCUGGACAAGGUGGUCCUAGCUGAGAUGAUCCAGGCUUUCUCAUCCCGGAAGAACUCUAAGCACAUGGAUGGGGCCUGGGACAAUGUGCAGAAUGAAUAACCUGGGCAAGAUGCUUCAAUUCAUGUUUCUAUGCAGAUGGAGCAGGAGGUUAGCAGAGCCUGUGCCUUCAGCUGCGAUGGGAAGGUGUUAAGUUGUUCUGCUUGGUCAAGUCCUAUGAAGAAGCCCAGGAUCCCAAGAUUACCAGCCUGUUAAACAAGCUGAUGGUGCUGUUCCUGCCACCCAUGACGCUGCCCUCAAGGCCUGCUUCUGGGGGUAGCACAGCAGCU